GAUGAACGCUGGCGGCGUGCUUAACACAUGCAAGUCGAACGGGAAACCUUUUAUUGCAGCUUCGGCAGAUUUAGCUGGUUUCUAGUGGCGGACGGGUGAGUAACGCGUGGGUAACCUGCCUUAUACAGGGGGAUAACAGUCAGAAAUGGCUGCUAAUACCGCAUAAGCGCACAGAGCUGCAUGGCUCAGUGUGAAAAACUCCGGUGGUAUAAGAUGGACCCGCGUUGGAUUAGCUGGUUGGUGGGGUAACGGCCCACCAAGGCGACGAUCCAGACCCGGCCUGAGGGGGGGACCGGCAACAUUGGGACUGGGCCACGGCCCAAACCCCUAGGGGAGGGAGCAGGGGGGAAAAUGGCAAAAGGGGGGAAACCCGAAGGCAGCGCGCCCGGGGGAAGGAAGAAGUAUCCGGGAAGUAAAACUUCAUUCAGCAGGGAAGGAAAGGCCUGAACCUGACAAAAAGCCCCCGGCAAACCACGG
rnacentral:rRNA from 1 species